GGAUGUAGAGAGAUUGGAUGAUUCUUAGAUGAUUUUGUGGUUGAGGCAUUAGGACUUGUUCAUAGGUGCUAGGAGGCAUGAAAUUUAAUUGAUUAGCAAUGUGGGAUUAAUGGAAGCAAGGAUGGGAUGGCUAAGGUUUUGUCAAUGGAUUUAUAAGAGCACUUAAUGAUGGAGGGUUGAGAUUUAUUAUGGAGAGCAAGGGGAG
rnacentral:lncRNA from 1 species